CCUGGGACCAGCUGCUGCCGUGUGAUCCGGUGACCGGGGGUGCAGGCGUCCUGCGCUAUAGCUGAGCUUACGCCGUCCCCUUGGCAGAUCUCUGAAGUGCGAGCAAGCUAUCGAGAGUUUCAGCACAACUCUGCUGAGACCGAUCCAGGCUCUUCAGGACUACAGGGUGUGAUCUAGAGAGGCGCCCUCAGCCCAGGCUACAACAUGCCAGUGAAAUGACUGAGGGUUGGAAAGAACGGUACCUGUCUCACAGAAG